GAUGAACGCUGGCGGCGUGCUUAACACAUGCAAGUCGAACGGUAAGGCCCAGCUUGUGGGGGGUGCUCGUGGCGAGAGGGGGUGUGAAACAUGAGAGUCCCCCGCCCUUGACUUUGGGAAAACUGCAGGACACUGGGUAAUACACCGGAUAGGCGUCUCCGCUGCGUGGGGGGGGUUGGAGAGUUUCGGUGGUGGGGGAUGGACCCGCGGCUUAUCAGCUUGUUGGUGGGGUAGUGGCUCACCAAGGCGUUGACGGGUAGCCGGCCUGAGAGGGUGACCGGCCACACUGGGACUGAGACACGGCCCAGACUCCUACGGGAGGCAGCAGUGGGGAAUAUUGCACAAUGGGCGGAAGCCUGAUGCAGCAACGCCGCGUGCGGGAUGACGGCCUUCGGGUUGUAAACCUCUUUCGCCUGGGACGAAGCGAGAGUGACGGUACUUGGUGAAGAAGCACCGGCUAACUACGUG
rnacentral:rRNA from 1 species